rnacentral:rRNA from 1 species
UACAGAGGUGACAAACGUUGUCCGGAAUCACUGGGCGUAAAGGGCACGUAGGCGGUAUGGUAAGUCAGGUGUGAAAUCUUCGGGCUCAACCCGGAAAUUGCACUUGAAACUGCCAUUCUUGAGUUCGGUAGAGGAGGGCGGAAUUCCUGGUGUAGCGGUGAAAUGCGUAGAUAUCAGGAGGAACACCGGUGGCGAAGGCGGCCCUCUGGUCCGAUACUGACGCUGAUGUGCGAAAGCGUGGGGAGCAAACAGG